GCUGGGUGUGGUGAUGCACGCCUGUAAUUCCAGCUACUCGGGAGGCUGAGGCAGGAGAAUCACUUGAACCCAGGAGGCGGAGGUUGCACCACUGCACUCCAGCCUGGGUGACAGAGUGAGACCCUGUCUCAA
rfam:Gorilla gorilla gorilla genomic chromosome, chr10, whole genome shotgun sequence